rnacentral:rRNA from 1 species
CUACGGGUCGCUGCAGUGGGGAAUAUUGCACAAUGGGGGAAACCCUGAUGCAGCGAUGCCGCGUGAACGAAGAAGGCUUUCGAGUCGUAAAGUUCUGUUCUUAGGGAAGAAAAUGACGGUACCUAAGGAGAAAGCACCGGCUAAAUACGUGCCAGCAGCCGCGGUAAUACGUAUGGUGCAAGCGUUGUCCGGAAUUACUGGGCGUAAAGAGUUCGUAGGCGGUCAAAUAAGUCAGAAGUGAAAGGCUACGGCUCAACCGUAGUAAGCUUUUGAAACUGUUUGACUUGAGUACUGGAGAGGAAAGUGGAAUUCCUAGUGUAGCGGUGAAAUGCGUAGAUAUUAGGAGGAACACCAGUGGCGAAGGCGGCUUUCUGGACAGUAACUGACGCUGAGGAACGAAAGCGUGGGGAGCAAACAGGAUUAGAUACCCUUGUAGUC